AGCAGCCGCGGUAAUUCCAGCUCCAAUAGCGUAUAUUAAAGUUGUUGCAGUUAAAAAGCUCGUAGUUGAAUUUCGGGAUCAAUUGAUUGGUCAUGCCUACGGUAUGUACUAGUCAUAUUGGUUCUCACCUUCUAAUGAACCUUAAUGUCAUUCACUUGAUGUUUUGGGGAAUUAGGACUGUUACCUUGAAAAAAUUAGAGUGUUUAAAGCAGGCUUACGCUUGAAUACAUUAGCAUGGAAUAAUGAAAUAGGACAUCGCAUUCUAUUUUGUUGGUUUCUAGGAUCGAUGUAAUGAUUAAUAGGGAUAGUUGGGGGCAUUAGUAUUCAAUUGUCAGAGGUGAAAUUCUUGGAUUUAUUGAAGACUAACUACUGCGAAAGCAUUUGCCAAGGAUGUUUUCAUUAAUCAAGAACGAAAGUUAGGGGAUCGAAGACGAUCAGAUACCGUCGUAGUCUUAACCAUAAACUAUGCCGACUAGGGAUCGGAUGAUGUUAAUUUUUAAAUGACUCAUUC
rnacentral:sRNA from 1 species